rnacentral:rRNA from 1 species
UACGUAGGGUGCAAGCGUUGUCCGGAAUUAUUGGGCGUAAAGAGCUCGUAGGCGGUUUGUCACGUCGGAUGUGAAACCCUGAGGCUCAACCUCAGGCCUGCAUUCGAUACGGGCAGACUAGAAUUCGGCAGGGGAGACUGGAAUUCCUGGUGUAGCGGUGAAAUGCGCAGAUAUCAGGAGGAACACCAAUGGCGAAGGCAGCUCGCUGGGACGGUACUGACGCUGAGACGCGAAAGCGUGGGGAGCAAACAGG